AGGGCAUGCAGGCUCCUACAACGAGCAUUCCAGCUCUCAGAUGUGUCUUUGGCAUUUGGAUACCACAAAGCAAUCAACCUAUGCCACCAUUCACUCAAUACCAGCCUGUGUCACCGUGCACUCAAUACCAGCCUGUGCCACCGUGCACUCAAUACUAAUGUGCCAUUGUGCAGAACUUGCAGAUUGUAUACUGGAUGAGUCCAUGUCUCACGAGUGAAUUAUUAAAACCAGAAACUGUAUCUUGCCCUGAAACCAAAUAUUCAAUAAACAAUCUGAACACAUA